GGACUACGAGGGUUUCUAAUCCUGUUUGCUCCCCACGCUUUCGCACCUCAGCGUCAGUAAUGGACCAGUGAGCCGCCUUCGCCACUGGUGUUCCUCCGAAUAUCUACGAAUUUCACCUCUACACUCGGAAUUCCACUCACCUCUUCCAUACUCCAGAUCGACAGUAUCAAAGGCAGUUCCAGGGUUGAGCCCUGGGAUUUCACCCCUGACUGAUCGAUCCGCCUACGUGCGCUUUACGCCCAGUAAUUCCGAACAACGCUAGCCCCCUUCGUAUUACCGCGGCGGCUGACAC
rnacentral:misc_RNA from 1 species